rnacentral:rRNA from 1 species
AGAGUUUGAUCCUGGCUCAGGACGGACGCUGGCGGCGUGCCUAAUACAUGCAAGUCGAGCGGACAGAUGGGAGCUUGCUCCCUGAUGUUAGCGGCGGACGGGUGAGUAACACGUGGGUAACCUGCCUGUAAGACUGGGAUAACUCCGGGAAACCGGGGCUAAUACCGGAUGGUUGUUUGAACCGCAUCGUUCAAACAUAAAAGGUGGCUUCGGCUACCACUUACAGAUGGACCCGCGGCGCAUUAGCUAGUUGGUGAGGUAACGGCUCACCAAGGCAACGAUGCGUAGCCGACCUGAGAGGGUGAUCGGCCACACUGGGACUGAGACACGGCCCAGACUCCCACGGGAGGCAGCAGUAGGGAAUCUUCCGCAAUGGACGAAAGUCUGACGGAGCAAUGCCGCGUGAGUGAUGAAGGUUUUCGGAUCGUAAAGCUCUGUUGUUAGGGAAGAACAAGUACCGUUCGAAUAGGGCGGUACCUUGACGGUACCUAACCAGAAAGCCACGGCUAACUACGUGCCAGCAGCCGCGGUAAUACGUAGGUGGCAAGCGUUGUCCGGAAUUAUUGGGCGUAUAGGGCUCGCAGGCGGUUUCUUAAGUCUGAUGUGAAAGCCCCCGGCUCAACCGGGGAGGGUCAUUGGAAACUGGGGAACUUGAGUGCAGAAGAGGAGAGUGGAAUUCCACGUGUAGCGGUGAAAUGCGUAGAGAUGUGGAGGAACACCAGUGGCGAAGGCGACUCUCUGGUCUGUAACUGACGCUGAGGAGCGAAAGCGUGGGGAGCGAACAGGAUUAGAUACCCUGGUAGUCCACGCCGUAAACGAUGAGUGCUAAGUGUUAGGGGGUUUCCGCCCCUUAGUGCUGCAGCUAACGCAUUAAGCACUCCGCCUGGGGAGUACGGUCGCAAGACUGAAACUCAAAGGAAUUGACGGGGGCCCGCACAAGCGGUGGAGCAUGUGGUUUAAUUCGAAGCAACGCGAAGAACCUUACCAGGUCUUGACAUCCUCUGACAAUCCUAGAGAUAGGACGUCCCCUUCGGGGGCAGAGUGACAGGUGGUGCAUGGUUGUCGUCAGCUCGUGUCGUGAGAUGUUGGGUUAAGUCCCGCAACGAGCGCAACCCUUGAUCUUAGUUGCCAGCAUUCAGUUGGGCACUCUAAGGUGACUGCCGGUGACAAACCGGAGGAAGGUGGGGAUGACGUCAAAUCAUCAUGCCCCUUAUGACCUGGGCUACACACGUGCUACAAUGGACAGAACAAAGGGCAGCGAAACCGCGAGGUUAAGCCAAUCCCACAAAUCUGUUCUCAGUUCGGAUCGCAGUCUGCAACUCGACUGCGUGAAGCUGGAAUCGCUAGUAAUCGCGGAUCAGCAUGCCGCGGUGAAUACGUUCCCGGGCCUUGUACACACCGCCCGUCGCACCACGAGAGUUUGUAACACCCGAAGUCGGUGAGGUAACCUUUUAGGAGCCAGCCGCCGAAGGUGGGACAGAUGAUUGGGGUGAAGUCGAAACAAGGUA